rnacentral:rRNA from 1 species
CGGGUUGAUAUUCCCGUACCCGCGUGUGUGCGUCCCUGACGAGGCAGGUGAGACUAACCACCCGAAGCCCUCCUUAACCUCACUUCGGUGAGGGUGGGGGGUGGAGCGUGGGACCUGCUCCUGUAGUAGACAAGUGAUGGGGUGACGCAGGAAGGUAGCUCCGCCAGUAAGUGGUAUGACUGGUGUAAGCGUGUAGGGCGACCGGUAGGCAAAUCCGCCGGUCACGAAGCCUGAGACGUGAUGCGUAGCCGUAUGAGGCGAAGUG